rnacentral:lncRNA from 1 species
AUUUUUCAGGGAUUUUUUUUCUGGGGUGUUCCAGCAUUAUUUGGGAUUUAUUUGGGGGUUUUUCUUGGGCUGUUCUGGCUUUAUUUGGGAUUUAUUUGGGGAUUUUUCUCGGGCUGUUCUGGCGUUAUUUGGGAUUUAUUUUGGGGUUUUUUUGCCGUUUCUCUGGGCUGUUCUGGCGUUAUUUGGGAUUUAUUUGGGGGUUUUUUUGCUGUUUUUCUGGGCUGUUCCGGCGUUAUUUGGGAUUUAUUUGGGGAUUUUUCUCUGGGCUGUUCUGGCGUUAUUUGGGAUUUAUUUGGGGAUUUUUCUCGGGCUGUUCUGGCGUUAUUUGGGAUUUAUUUGGGGAUUUUUCUUGGGCUGUUCUGGCGUUAUUUGGGAUUUAUUUGGGGAUUUUUCUUGGGCUGUUAUUUGGGAUUUAUUUGGGGAUUUUUCUCGGGCUGUUAUUUGGGAUUUAUUUGGGGAUUUUUCUUGGGCUGUUCCAGCGUUAUUUGGGAUUUAUUUUGGGGGGUUUUUUUGCAGUUUUCUCUGGGCU